rnacentral:rRNA from 1 species
CAACCUGCCGUCUACUCUUGGACAGCCUUCUGAAAGGAAGAUUAAUACAAGAUGGCAUCAUGAGUCCGCAUGUUCACAUGAUUAAAGGUAUUCCGGUAGACGAUGGGGAUGCGUUCCAUUAGAUAGUAGGCGGGGUAACGGCCCACCUAGUCUUCGAUGGAUAGGGGUUCUGAGAGGAAGGUCCCCCACAUUGGAACUGAGACACGGUCCAAACUCCUACGGGAGGCAGCAGUGAGGAAUAUUGGUCAAUGGACGAGAGUCUGAACCAGCCAAGUAGCGUGAAGGAUGACUGCCCUAUGGGUUGUAAACUUCUUUUAUAUGGGAAUAAAGUAUUCCACGUGUGGGAUUUUGUAUGUACCAUAUGAAUAAGGAUCGGCUAACUCCGUGCCAGCAGCCGCGGUAAUACGGAGGAUCCGAGCGUUAUCCGGAUUUAUUGGGUUUAAAGGGAGCGUAGGUGGAUUGUUAAGUCAGUUGUGAAAGUUUGCGGCUCAACCGUAAAAUUGCAGUUGAAACUGGCAGUCUUGAGUACAGUAGAGGUGGGCGGAAUUCGUGGUGUAGCGGUGAAAUACUUAGAUAUCACGAAGAACUCCGAUUG